UAUUAAAAUGAUUUUCAUCAUAGAAUGUUAUCAUCAUAUACCUCAUCAGCUGUGUUUAAAAGGCUUUAUUUUCUUAAAGUCCACAAGGCCAAAAGUGCUCAUAGAUGAAGAAACAGCCAUAUAUGUGUGUGUGUGUGUGUGUGUGUGUGUGUGUGUGUGACCUCAUUCUCCAGGGGUGCUUGAUGAGCCGGGGAAGUGGAGUAGAGUGCCUGAAAUCUGAUCUGGUUUACCCGUUCAGAUCCACACCAGUUCUCCUCAAGCCUCUGCUGUGUAUUGGAUUGACCCCGGACUGGCCUAAGAAAAAGUCGUUUGGGGAAACGGGAUGGACAAGGGAGGACAUCAAAUAAAGACGACGAUGAUGAUGUUAUCAGUUGGACUUUUCAUCAGCAUUCUUGUCUGCUAUAGACUAUUUGGAGUGUAGGUGAGUGACAGUAGAGAGACGCAAGAAGAAAAUGCUGUCCUGAGACGUCUUCUUAAUGCUAAACACAUGGUCAGGAGCAGGACUCGUCUGCAGACUUUUGGCCUGGAAUUCUCCCCACUCAAUUUCCUUUGUUGGCUCCUGAAUUUUAUACACAAAGCAAUAAUGAAACAAUGCUAGUGCUGUUAUGAAUACGUCUGUCACCUCUGUAUGAAUACUAAUAGAUCUGACCUGUCACGAUUAGCACAUUCACAUACCAUUUUAAAACAGCGCUCAUAAAUAAAGCCUCAAACUUUCUGUCACGCUGGUUUUUGGGUUUCGUUUCUUGAUUAGGUUUUCUUGUCUUAUAUUUUUUAUUUUCUUGUCUUGGUUCCUGUCCUGUCAUAUGGUCCUUUUAUUCAUGAAUCUUGUUCUCACUAGGUGUUUUCGAGUUGAAGUGGCGCUAUGCAGACCAACUGGUGUAUGAUAUAAAAGUACUGCGAGAACAAUUAGAGAACAGAUGAAUCCAUAUGCUUUUGAAUCGAUCGGUCUUCUGCAGCACUGCUUCAAGUCGAACACACCUAUUGGUGCCUUUGUUCAAUGUAUCAUGUUGUAAUUGGUUGGUUUAUGUCAUGUGACCCCUAUCGUUUGAUACAUACAGUAUAGCCUCAUGUUUCUAUUGUCUAGCUUUGUUCACUGUAACCGCUGUUGGCGAGUUCAUGUUUUGUUCAAGUUCGUUUCAUAUUUCAAGCCAAGUUUUGUAAUGUAACUGUACUUGGGUUCACAUUCACUCACUUCAGUGGACUAUUUACUACACUUUUUUUAACUGGUAAAAAGAAGCAAAUGCCCUCUAGUCUAAUGUUACUUCAGAUCUAUGAUGUCUAUGCCUAAAAACAU
ensembl:lncRNA